rnacentral:rRNA from 1 species
GGCUCAGGAUGAACGCUAGCUACAGGCUUAACACAUGCAAGUCGAGGGGCAGCAUGAACUUAGCUUGCUAAGUUUGAUGGCGACCGCGCACGGGUGAGUAACACGUAUCCAACCUGCCGAUGACUCGGGGAUAGCCUUUCGAAAGAAAGAUUAAUACCCGAUGGCAUAGUUCUUCCGCAUGGUAGGACUAUUAAAGAAUUUCGGUCAUCGAUGGGGAUGCGUUCCAUUAGCUUGUUGGCGGGGUAACGGCCCACCAAGGCAUCGAUGGAUAGGGGUUCUGAGAGGAAGGUCCCCCACAUUGGAACUGAGACACGGUCCAAACUCCUACGGGAGGCAGCAGUGAGGAAUAUUGGUCAAUGGGCGCUAGCCUGAACCAGCCAAGUAGCGUGAAGGAUGACUGCCCUAUGGGUUGUAAACUUCUUUUAUAUGGGAAUAAAGUGCAGUAUGUAUACUGCUUUGCAUGUACCUUAUGAAUAAGGAUCGGCUAACUCCGUG